rnacentral:tRNA from 2 species
GCAGGUGUUGCCGAAUGGUUACACUAUCCGCUUUGUAGGCGGAUGAUCAUUGGUUCGAUUCCCACCUGCU